UACGUAGGGACCAAGCGUUGUCCGGAAUCAUUGGGCGUAAAGAGCGUGUAGGCGGCUUGUUAAGUCUUGCGUGAAAUCUCGGGGCUCAACCCCGAGCGGUCGUGAGAAACUGGCAGGCUAGAGUGCGGGAGAGGAGACUGGAAUUUACGGUGUAGCGGUGAAAUGCGUAGAUAUCGUAAGGAAGACCAGUGGCGAAGGCGGGUCUCUGGACAGUUCCUGACGCUGAGGCACGAAGGUCAGGGGAGCAAACGGG
rnacentral:rRNA from 1 species